rnacentral:rRNA from 1 species
AUGCUCGACGAGUAAGUGUCGCCGCCGCCGCGGCAGUGUAUGAUGAGGAACGGGAAGGGGUGGCCGCGCGAUAAGAACCGAUGACAGUAGGACAGGUGGGUACGGCGGAGGGUUUAAAUUUAAAAGACGGUUUGGGCGCGCGGGUCCGCUUUGACAGAUCUUUGGUAGGAACGUCCGGGUAUAUAUAGUUUAAAAGAUAGUGAGACCCAAGCUUAGGCGUACGGUUCCACCUCGACAGAUCUUUGAUGAUAACUUCUGGUUAUAUUUCGUUUACCCUGAGAGCGACGACGUGGGUUUCUUCGGUUUGCGACCAGUGCGGUUAGAAGUCUAACUUACCUAACACUCCUGAAGCAGAAGACAAGAUGAAGCACUUCCUGGUUCCAGGUUUUCUAUGAGUAGUUCGAGUCUUUAAUCUUCAGAGGUCCUCUUUGGGAACCUAAAUCCACACUUUGACUCAUUAGUGUUCCAGAACGCGGGUUUACAAUGUUAGGAGCACGGUUGUUUCGCUAUUUCCUUUUGUUUUUCCAACGAUAGAACAGGGAAUAGCGAACCACCUUGUUAGACAAACGUAUAUAAACAUAAUAGACUGAUAACCAGGUUGAAAUUUAUUGUGUCACCAGCUACUGUUAUUAUUCAGGGUGUCACCAGAUGUCAAAGGAAAAAAAAAAAGGAAACACAUUCAUAUGACGUCCACGAACAGACUACAGGAAAAUCCACUCUUCUAUCUUCACUCUCGGGUUCAUAAUUCAGUUUUGUGAAGAUUAAGUAAGAACAAAGAAAGAAGACCUGGUAAAUCCACUUAGAAUAUACACCCGAUAUUAAAACACGAUUUCUUCCAGAAAUCCUGGGGUUUUAAAUCAUUUCUAACAUUACGAAGUAGUAGAUGAUGAUAAUCUGCUACUACGGUGAAAAUAACCGUAUCAACUGUAGUUUUGACCUUCGAUGUCCAGUAACAUACCGAGCUAUAGAGCUGAGAUUUCGUUGUAAACCAGACAAAUAACAGACUCAAGAUAAGAAUUCGUUGUAAACCAGACUAUUUAAUGAAACCCAGAAGCCAGUAAACUUAUGGACUACUAUAUACACCACUUAUUAAUCAAACGAGGAGGAAUCCAACACAUUGGACACCCGAAGGUAGACGACCGCAUGGUGUACUAUACUAUAUACACGACUUAUUAAUGCAAGCGAUUAAUAAACCACGGUAGAGCCAUUCUCCUCCUAAAUGAACCCAAUAAACAAUCCAUAGUACAGUAAGUUUUUAGUUGAAGGAAAAGUGACUUCCUUAUUUAGGACGAAAGUACACAAGCAGGAUUGUAGAACUCGUCGGAACGUGUUUCCUCGAGAAACUCCUGACAACACUGUAUCUGGGUCAUUCGACCGCUACCACCGCGUCCUUCACACCCGCAGCUGUACCGACCUUGGGGUACCAGUACUCUGAUCGUUACAUCAGCAGCAGCAGGAAAAACCCGAGACGACACAAACCAGAUAAACCCUAAGACACAUGUUGAAAAAAGAGGCAUACUCUCAAUUGACAUCAAACAGUCCAAUGACCAACUGCUACGAGAACAAGUACAAUGGUUCCUACUACCUCCCUCAUCAACAAAUACGAAAGUACAACCCAAACCCACCGAUGACGGGUCGGGCAUACCACACAUAUACACGCACACACAUAACCCAAACCCACCGAUUACGGGUCGGGCAUACCACACACAUACACGCACAUACAUUUAUGGCCUUACUAAAGUCGUUGGCUUAAACCUCAGACAUUCGAGGAAAAGAGCCUUUUUCAUCACGUUGAUAUCUCG